rnacentral:tRNA from 1 species
GUCCUCGUAGCUCAGCUGGAUAGAGCAAUCGCCUUCUAAGCGAUCGGUCAGGUGUUCGAAUCACCUCGUGGACACCA